rnacentral:lncRNA from 1 species
UGCCAACUUUGCCAGCAGAUGUAUUUAUCCCUGCGUGUGUGAAGUGCUAUGGGGCAGGGAUGAAGCCACUAUUGUAUGUUGGGAAGCACCAGGGGUAGAUUGCAGCGAGCUCCUUCUCAGAAGUCAUUUCUUUUAUCCUCCCAGUAUCAAUGUGUUUGCCAUCACCAUUCUCAACCGCCAGGCUCCUGCUCCCAUUUAGAGGCUGUGCAACAUUUCAAAUUACUAUUUUUUUGAAGGUGGUCUGUGUGGCUUCACACACCAAGGACAUGGCGAGGCCCAGCAUGGCACGCAGUAGGAAAGCCUCGCACACAGCCACACUUGAUCUGCAAGGAGGUGGAAGGAGCUGGUCAGGAGCUGCGUUAUGCUGUAGAAAUCGCAGGGUCUUCUCUAUGCAGGUGAAAAUGGGUGAGAAGGAGUACAACUGUUGGAUUUGUGGCAGGAAUUUUCAAACGAAUGAAAGCGUAAGGAUGAAAACAGAAGAAAAGUGUUCAGCACGGACACAGUUAAAUUUCCAGGAGCAUAAGGAAACUGUUACAGAAAAGGUGACAAUAAUACAUCUUGUUGGAAAGGAGAACCAAAAUGAAGCAGCUGUACAUCAGAGAGAAAAUCUGAACUAAGAGACUGAUAACAAGUAUGCCGAGUAUUUUUUCUUGCUUACGGGUGAAAAAGCCAGCAAAGUCUCUGUUUGAAGACAAAGCACAUAAUAAUAUGAUCAUAAAAAUCUCCUAAUGGGGACUGUGUGAUGCACGGUAAAUGUAUUCCUUUCAGUACGUUAUUCCCUCUACAUGCAGGCUUUCAAGGUACCCUCGAACCGUACUGUGGAUAUGAUAGCAUCAGCACAGCUAGAUGUGAGCAGAGCUGGACCUCCUUUUUCCUUAUUAUUGCUAUUAUUUGUGCUCUUAUCAUUUCAUACUGAUCUCACGGCAACUCCUGGGAGGUUCAGACAGAAAAGUCACCCCAUUUUUCAAGAGGUGGUUUGCAGACAUUGCUAAGGCACCAUCUGUGCCCAGAGAAAAGCUGCAAUUGAUGGAAAUGAAGUGACAUUCAGAGGGUGGAGAGAGGAAUACAGCAAUUAUAGGUGGGGCUGGUAGUAUUACCUGUUAUUAAGGGCUUGCCUGACACUUCCCAUUUUAAGGCCUGCUCCUCGUGGUUUUUAAGUACUUAGUAAACUUUAAGCAUUUGUCUUUACCUAGACUUCUACCCUUGGCUGCUUCUGCUGCUCAGGUGUUAUUAACAGAAUUUAUUUCAUUUGGACGUCGUGGCAGGACUGGAGCUGGAGGAAGGAGCAGCAGCUUUAAAAACAUACAAAUAAAUGUUAUCCUUUUACCUUUCAGUAUAUUUUUUUUGUUUUGCUUUGCCAUAAGAACUCAAACACUGUAAUCUCACCUUGUUUUCUUAUAUUCCUCCAGCUACCUGUCUGCAUCCAUCUGUGAUCUCUUUUCUUAGAUUUGAGCCUGUCUUUCUGAUCUGCAUUUGUGCACUGCUUUAUACAGCUGGGUGCUGGUCCGUGACUGCUGCACCUAUGAGCUGCAGCCAUGCAAACAAAUACUCU